rnacentral:rRNA from 1 species
CGAAGACAACUAGGAUGUUGGCUCAGAAGCAGCCAUACAUUCAAAGAGUGCGUAACAGCUCACUAGUCGAGAGUUCCUGCGCCGAAAAUGUCCGGGGCUGAAACACGACACCGAAGCCGUGGACUCGCAAUGCGAGUGGUAGAGGAGCAUUCUUAAAACCGACGAAGCUGUACCGGAAGGAGCAGUGGAGGGAUAAGAAGAGAGAAUGCCGGAAUGAGUAGCGAGAGAAAGGUGGGAAUCCUUUCGGCCGAAUAUCUAAGGUUUCCAGAGUAAAGCUGAUCUGCUCUGGGUAAGUCGGGGCCUAAGCACAGGUCGCAAGACGUAAGCGAUGGAUAACAGGUUUAGAUUCCUGUACCACGCAUUAUCAGAACUGUAGGGACGCAUGUGGAAAGCACGAGCCGGGAAUGGAAAGACCGGUACAAGCGGGGUAGGUGUACGAUAGGCAAAUCCGUCGUAUAAUCCGAAGACGUGAUGUGGAGCGAAAUAAAGUAGCAAAGCGUGUGAGCCAUGUGCCGAGAAAAGCUGCUAUUGUGUAAUGCGUGCCCGUACCGUAAACCGACACAGGUGGAUGAGGAGAGAAUCCUAAGGCCGACGGAAGAAGCAUUGUUAAGGAAUUCGGCAAAAUGACCCCGUAACUUCGGGAGAAGGGGUGCCUGCGAGAGCAGGCCGCAGAGAAUAGGCUCAAGCAACUGUUUAGCAAAAACACAGGUCUAUGCGAAACCGAAAGGUGAAGUAUAUGGGCUGACGCCUGCCCGGUGCUGGAAGGUUAAGAGGAGAGGUUAGCGUAAGCGAAGCUUUGAAUUUAAGCCCCAGUAAACGGCGGCCGUAACUAUAACGGUCCUAAGGUAGCGAAAUUCCUUGUCGGGUAAGUUCCGACCCGCACGAAAGGCGUAAUGAUUUGAGCACUGUCUCGACAAUGCAUCCGGUGAAAUUGAAGUACCAGUGAAGAUGCUGGUUACCCGCGCCAGGACGGAAAGACCCCAUGGAGCUUUACUCCAGUUUGAUACUGGGAUUCGGUACUGCAUGUACAGGAUAGGUGGGAGACGAAGAAGGAUGGACGCCAGUCUGUCCGGAGUCGCUGUUGGGAUACCACCCCUGUAGUACUGGGUUUCUAACCAGUUGCCAUGAACUGGCAAUGGGACAAUGUCAGGCGGGGAGUUUGACUGGGGCGGUCGCCUCCGAAAGGGUAUCGGAGGCGCUCAAAGGUUCCCUCAGAAUGGUUGGAAACCAUUUGAAGAGUGCAAAGGCAGAAGGGAGCUUGACUGCGACACCGACGGGUGGAGCAGGUA